CGCGUAGGUGGUUAUGUAAGUGAGACGUGAAAGCCCCGGGCUUAACCUGGGAAAGUCGUCUUAAACUGCAUAGCUAGAGUACUGUAGAGGGUAGUGGAAUUUCCGGUGUAGCGGUGAAAUGCGUAGAGAUCGGAAGGAACACCAGUGGCGAAGGCGGCUACCUGGACAGAUACUGACACUGAGGCGCGAAAGCGUGGGGAGCAAACA
rnacentral:rRNA from 1 species